rnacentral:snoRNA from 1 species
AAUCUGUAAUGAGGGCACUUCCGUAAUAAUUCUUUGUACCUUUCCCAUGCCUUAUACAAGGACUCAUCAUCCAUUUGUUGGAAAGCAGUGAUCUCGUUCCUUAACUU